AUUGAACGCUGGCGGCAGGCCUAACACAUGCAAGUCGAACGAGUGGCGGACGGGUGAGUAAUGUCUGGGAAACUGCCUGAUGGAGGGGGAUAACUACUGGAAACGGUAGCUAAUACCGCAUACCAUCAGAUGUGCCCAGAUGGGAUUAGCUUGUUGGUGGGGUAACGGCUCACCAAGGCGACGAUCCCGAGCUGGUCUGAGAGGAUGCCCAGCAAAACUGGAACGUAGACACUGUCCAUACUCCGACGGGAGGCAGCAGUGGGGAAUAUUGCACAAUGUGCGCAAGCCUGAUGCGGCCAUGCCGCGUGUAUGAAGAGGGCCUUCGGGUUGUAAAGUACUUUCAGCGGGGAGGCGUUACCCGCAGAAGAAGCACCGGCUAACUCCGUGCCAGCAGCCGCGGUAAUAC
rnacentral:rRNA from 1 species